AGCGUGGGGAUCAUUAAAGGAAUCUCCUCUUUGGCUCACGUCAUUCACGGUAAGACUUCCUAACAUGGUGCAAAAACCAAGUGGCUCUAACAACAUUGCCAAGGUCCUGGGUGGACAGUCAGGAACUGGGCUGUGAAAAUGAAUUUGUGCACCACCCCACUGCCCACACCAUGGAACCCACCUGGUGCCAGUCCUCAACAACAUUUCCCAAUUUGGGGCCGUUUGCGUGCUAUCUUCUGCUUUCCUGUUUUGCUUCUCUGCACACCACCUUUGCACAUAUCUCUAGGUUUGAACAAUUGCACUUACACAUUUCUAAUCUAUGUUCCUUCCAUCUUAAUCCCAGGCAACGUCUUGAAGCCACAAGUUGGGUGUGCUAGUUAUGCCCAACUAUUAGGGCACAUGCAACUCUCACCAAGAAAGUCAUUCAUCUCUGCACCUCCUAAAAUCAUUGCCUACAUCAUUCUUGGGGUUGUGGCCCCAGGACUCCCAUAGAUCUCCAGGGAGGGGCUUCUCUCUGUACCGUUUCAGAGGAGGCUCCUUAGAGAUCUUCAGCACAUGUGAGUUUCACAUUAUGAGCCAGCUACCCCUGUUUCCUUCAUCAGCACAGGAGAAGAUUUUUGGCCACAAUGAUCCUUGUGGAAUGUUUUCCUCUCUUUCUGGGAAGAAAAGAAGUGCCUCCAUUCCCAAUUCCCACUGAGGAGAAGCACUGAGGAGUGAGAAGCAUCCAGGACUCUGGCUCCACAGAUGUGGAAUCUCUUCAGUGCUAAGUGCUCUGGGCCAGGGAGGCAUGAGUCCUGCUCAUAGGCUUUUGGGUUCACUUGGUGAAUUUGGCCUCCUUUUCAGUGCUUGGGUUAAUGAGGUGCAGAUGGUCCAUAGCUGAUUCCUUUCCUAUGACAACUGUUUCACAGGCAAGGAAACAUACUCAAUGGCUCCUUGGUGAAUAGUUACCUAGUUUCUGAAAUCCCUACUCAGUCUGGGAAAAGGUUUCUCAUCAGAGGACAGAUGACCCAAGAUGGACUUACUGAAGUACUGGGAUGCACAUUCCUUGGCAGAUACGCUGGGAAUCUGGAGAUCUUGGUGGCUCUGUGUUUGGUUGUACAGAGAUGCUGAUACUAUCUUUGUGGGAAUGGAAUCGUCCAUGUGAGAACACAGUGUGGACAGGAUGCUGCCUCUGGAGAGCUUGGGGACACUCUGCCCAGGGUUCCUUCUUCUGAGUGGGAUCAGGAGUAGAAAGCCGUCCCUCCUCCUGGGAACGAGAUGGAAUAAAACCUGACUCUCUGA